ensembl:lncRNA
GGCCUGUGCCGGCGGCUCCGGGCGCUGAGCCUCCGCCGGUCCGGGUGUGGUCGUCCCGGUCUUGCGGUCGGGAGCCCGCGCCUUUGGGGGGGGGUACUGUCACGUCCUGGCUGUGCCCCCAGCCAUCUCUGCGCUGGGCUCGGGGCAUAGCCAGGACAGGACAGGAGGUGGCCUUUAGCCACCUCUACUCCUUUUUUUGGUUUCCCCAAUUGGAGGCAGGUGUUAGUUAUUGCCUCCAAUUGGGGACCCUAUUUAAGUUUAGUUUGUAGGCCCCAAGGCGUGGUUCAUUUUGGUUUUGUUUAUCCUGUGUAAGGAAUACCCACGUCACUGGUUGCUGCCUUUUGUUUUAUUGGAGUCCUUCUUUAUUUUUUCAUUAAAUAUGGAUUACCUUCCCUACCUUUACUCUGCGCCUGUGUCCUUUUCAUCCCACGACCGUGACAGGCUCACACCCUCAAAUACAUCACUGAUCUGGCAAACGCAACUCACUUCUCAAACACAACAGCAACCCGGGAAGCGCAACUCACCUUGCAGAUCACAAUCAUCGGAAUUCUAGUCACCUGUUCACUCACCUGUUGUUCAUCAGCACCACUAUUUAGUUUCCCUCCAGUCCACACUGUCUUUGUGAGGUGUUGUUUUGUAGUCCCGCAACUUUCGUUGAGUAUUUUCUGUUAGUAUUGUCUACCGUGUACCGAAUUGCUUUUGUCCUCUUUAACUGACCACGUUUUGCCUCAUCCUCUUGUACCUUCGCUCCAGAGAUCCUGACCUUGACCUACUGCCUGUUCCCUCACUACGACCAUCGUUUUACUCUUCUGGUAACUUUGACUACACUGGUUGGAGGCUCCCGUUUUUUUACUCUUGCCUGUUAUUACUGACUAUCCCCCUGUAUUUACGCUAUGUACCAUUGCCUCUAUUAAACCAGUGCUCUGCGCUUGAAUCUUUACCUUUCUCCUUGGAAUCAUUACAAGAAAUAUAACCCUACAACUCCUCUCAGUUUUAUUCCUGGUACAAAUUGUGCUAAUUCUGGGCAGGUCAUAACUUGCUAGCUAACCUACAUAAAAUACCAGCUAUGAUUUAUCAGAUCAAUACUCAUUCACUGUCUGUGACUGUCUGUUUUUUUGACAUUCUAGUUUCUUUUGUCAAAGGUGAAGAGGUGACUCUGGAAUGCUGGCCUUCUAGGCAGAGUUACAAAGAAAAGACAUAUCUCAGACUGGCAAGUGAAAAGAAAAGACACAAACAUUGGUCUGAGGAAGAACCAGGAAGUCCAGCAGCCUGGUGUCGCCUCUUCUCUGUUGAUGUUGAGACUGGUGUUUUGCGUGUACUAUUAAAUAAAGCUGCCAGAACCUGUGAGGCAUCUGUUUCUUAAACUAGACUCUAAUGUAUUUGUCCUCUUCCUCAGUUGUGCAUCCCAAUUCUGGUUAGAGGCAGUUUGCGCUGUUCUGUGAAGGGAGUACUACACAUCUCUUUGGUUCCUUGGCAAUUUCUCACAUGUAAUUGCCUUCAAUUCUCAGAACAAUAAUGGACUGACGAGUUCCAGAAGAAAGUGCUUUGUUUCUGGCCAUUUUGAGCCAGUAAUCCAACCUAAAAUUGCUGAUGCUGUAGAUGCUGAACUAGUCUACAGAAGCAAUGGACAGUGGUAGCAGGGUUGUGUUUGCAGUCAUCAUGAUAAUGGCAUGCAUGGGAACGAGAGCUAAUGGACUUAGCUCCAUAACAGCACCGAAUACAUUGCCCUCG